GAUGAAGAACGUAGCGAAAUGCGAUAAGUAAUGUGAAUUGCAGAAUUCAGUGAAUCAUCGAAUCUUUGAACGCACCUUGCACCCUUUGGCAUUCUGAAGGGUAUGCUCGUUUGAGUGUCAUUGUACUCUCACACUCCCGAUCUUUGCAUUGGGAGCAGUGGACUUGGGUUUGCUGCUUCACCGUCGCUUACCUCAAAUGGGUUAGUGCAACUCUUGGUUGGACAUAGUACGGCGUGAUAAGUGUUCUUCGCCGGUGCCUCGCAAAGAGGGUGGCCGAUCGGGAUGUUGUGCUCCAAACCGUCUUCGGACAAUCUCUGACGACUUGACCUCAAAUCGAGUAAGACUACCCGCUGAACUUAAGCAUAUCAAUAAGCGGAGGA
rnacentral:misc_RNA from 1 species